UAAGAAAUUUAGGAUUAUAUUAAACCAAGGGCCUUCAAAGCUCAAAAUAUGGGUGAAAACCCCAUAAUUUC
rnacentral:tRNA from 1 species